rnacentral:tRNA from 1 species
GUAGCAAAAGGCUAAUGCUCUUGGCUGCUAACCAAAAGGUUGGAGGUUCAAGUCCACCC